UUUUUUUAAAUCUAAAAUUUCUCGAAUUAUACGUCCCUUAAAUUUUUACCCAAUUUCUUAUUUCUUAUUUCUUUCCCAUUUUUAGCCCCUCUCCCUAAACAAUUCGACAGCUCCCUCGACCCCCUUUUCCCAAACCGUCUGACAACGUCCCUACCCCUACUCCCCUUUGCCCAUCUGCUUGCGCCAUUCCUUACCUUAGCAGACUGCCACCCUUACCUGCACCCGCCCCUUUGCACGAGUUGCACUUCCCCUGUAUGACCCACCCCAUUUCACGAGUUGCGACAGAAUCUUGAUAUUUAGUGGGUCGGUACAAUCACUAGGCCAACUGAUAUCUAUUUGGAGGCUGAGCUUAGCUAGAUGCUUGCAGGGUAAUUACGUAAGCAGAUUAACUCUAACUGUAUUGGGGAACCUAUCUUCACUUCAUAACAUCAAUGGAGCUUGCCUUGUCCCUCUGGAUAAACUAACAAAUGAAAAGCUCUUGAACCUGUACAUAGUGGCUCAACAGAACCAUGAUGUGUAGUUGACAGAUUUUAUUAAAGGCAAAUUCUUAGCUGAGCAGGUGGAUGCCAACAAGAAAAUGUUAGAAUAAGUGGUUCAGUUGAGAAGGAUUUGCAAAGGACAUGUUUGGAAUGCUCAUUUCACUCACGGAGAACCACCAUCCACCAAUACCACUGCUGAAGACUUGGGGAAGCAGAGAGAGAAAGAGAACAUGGUAAGUGAACUGAAAGUAAUUAUUGAUAGGAUGGAGGUUGUUAUGGUGGGAUUGGUGUUGCUUUCGCAGUCUUUUGUGCCCAUCAGCUCACCUUUUCUUUGGUUUUAGCCAUAAUUUUCUCUUGUGCAAAUGGGUGUAUCCAAGGAGAAAACUAGUUUAGGUUAUACAAAUUUUUAUGGGGAGGAUGUGUUGCUGAUUGUGGUGAUGCAACUUGUGGUGGAUGUUCCUCAUUACUUGUAUGAACCAGAAAUCAUGGACAAGUUCCAUUUAUCUUAGUUAUUCUGUCUCAAGGCAGUUGUGCUUGCUACUUUGAAAGAUAGAAUUGCAAACAUGGUGCACCAAGUACUAAUUAUUAAGGUUUAUGCAAAUUAUAAGUGAAGUGAGGCAACUCAGCUGGCUAUUGUUAAGAAAUACUAUAAAGCUGUGCUUCCCUGUAAUAUGCCUUUUGUCAUUUUAGAGAAUAAUUCCACUUAUCAUGGAAAGUAUUGAAUGUCAUGACUUAUUUAAUUUACCAUAGGUAGCUAUGACUAAAUGAUCUGACUAUACAUUAAGUUGGAUAGUUGGUUUUCUCAUUAAUUUCCUAGAGUUAAUGACUUCAUAUAAUUAUAUUGUGAGUGAAUAUAUAGCAUGCAAUAGACUAUAAAUGGUCACAUUAUAAGUUGGUGGAAUAACUUUCUGUUCAAGUCUGUCUUUAAAAAAGAAGGUGCAUGUUAAGAAAAUGCUCUCAGCUCAUGUUAGUAGGACAUUCUUAAGCAAAGGAUUUUCUCUCCUAAUCAAUGACUUUCAUGCCUAACCAUCAAUUUUCGUGCACUAACUGCUAAUUUUCUUGUGUUUUCUAUUGCUUUUAUUCAUUGUUGUAUAGAUUCUUAGAUUUUCUUAUUCGAUUGAUUCUCGUUUGAUCUGGGAAGAGUAAGUUCAAGAGGAAUGGAUUCAAGGAAGCUAUCUCCUGGCAAACUUUCUUCUACACAAGGCGGUAGGGAAGAAGAAGGGAUUAUUUGUGCAGCAAAUGGGAGGAGUGUGCAAAAGACUGCAGGAGAUUGGAGAAAGCUGUUUGUGGCAUUGACAGACCAAUUUUUGCAAUUUUAUCCACCAUAGAGAGAUAACAGAAAGGUGUUAGUCAAACCUUCAGAUGAAGCAUUUGAAAAAAGAGUCUAUCAAGGGUAGAGCUCGCUGGUGGCACAAUUUAUAGCUAGGGUCCCUGAUUUCAGCCAGUUUCAAUGAGCUUGACAAUAUGAUAUGGGGGAAAGAGGGGCUUAUGAACAUCAAACCUGCUGGUGAGAAUUUAUUCUCACUGUAGUUCACCUCUAAACAAGAUCGAAAAACGGUUCUUGAAUCAGGCCCAUGUCAUAUAUAGAAUAAGACUAUUAGUAAGGUAGUAAGAGCCAGGCAUGAAAACCUUGGAGUUCAGAUGAACAGAUGACCUAUCUGGAUUCAUUUGGGUAACAUUUUGGGUAACAUUCCAUUAAAGUUGUAUACUAAAAAGAGAUUGAGCUACAAUGCCAGUGCUUUAGGUAAUCCAUUGUAUAUGGAUAAGAUAACGACAAAUCAAGAAUGGCUUGCUUAUGCCAAGAUCUGUGUAGAUGCUGAGUUGGAUAUGGACAUUCCUUGGUAUAUUGAUGUAAUGCUUCGCAAUGGCAAUAUUACUUCUAUUUCAGUUGAAGUCCCAUGGAUGCUGCCAAAGUGCCAGCACUACAAAUGAUUUUGCCACAUAGAUAAGGCAUGCUUGCAAAAGCCUAUCACUUAAGCUAUUAAGGUUUGUCAACCAAGUGAAGGAACUACUAAGGAAACUGGAAAUGAAUCACAAAAAGUGAUAAAUAGAACAAAAUAGAAAUUUCCCCUGAGAGGGCUAGGCCAAGGAAUGAAUGCAAUCUAAGGCUGUACCUGCAAACAGAUUUGCUAUACCGGAAAUGGUCAAAAAGUGGGAGAAAGACAUAGAGAUGAGUCAGAACGAUGAGGAGCUGAUGGGGAGGAUUAAAAGGUUAUAAGUUGAAAAGGCUUGUUUGCUGGAGACUAAAGUAAAGCAAAAUAAUAUGUAGCAAGUGGUAAGUACUCAUUUUGUAGGAUGGUCCAAUUUUCAUAAUUACUUAUAUGCUUAUAAGGGUAGAAUUGGGUUGAUGUGAAAGUCUGAACUAAAAGUGGACAUGGUGGAAGCAAAAGAUCAAAGCUUAACGUGUGGUGUGCUAUAUGGUACUCAAAAGUUUUAUUUUUCAGCUAUAUAUGGAAGCAAUAAUGAAGGUGAAAAAGGAGGUUAUGGCCACACUUGCUGUCAUUAUAAAGCAAGGUUGCUAGUUGGCCAUGGAUCUUGGCUGGUGAUUCCAAUUUGGUAUCUUAUCCUACAUAAAGCUUAGAUUAUAAUGGUUCCCAAGUAGCUGGAUUAGGUGUAACUGAUUCUCAAGAAUGCUUGAAUAAAGUAGCUACUAUAGAUCAUUCUUUCACAAAACCCUUGUUUACAUGAAGUAACCAUACUAUUUACAGGAAAAUGGAUUGAGUUUUAAUAAAUGAUUUUUGGUUUACUCAAUUGUCA